rnacentral:rRNA from 1 species
GACGAACGCUGGCGGCGUGCCUAAUACAUGCAAGUCGAACGGAAAGGCCCUGCUCUUGUGGCGUGCUCGAUAGGCGAAGGGGUGAGUAACACGUGUGUAUACUCCCCCUGACAGUGGGAUAACUUCAGGAGAAUGGGGCUAAUACCGGAUAGGAUCUCUUGCUGCAUGGUGGGGGUUGGAAAGUUUCGGCCGUUGGGGAUGUACUCGCGGCUUAUCAGCUUGUUGGUGGAGUAGUGGCAUACCAAGGCUUUGACGGGUAGCCGGCAUGGGAGGGUUACCGGCCACCUUGGGCCUGAGGUACGGCGCAGAAUCGUACGUGACGCAGUGGUGGGAAACCUUGCGCAGUGGGCCGGAGCCUGUUACAACAACGCCGCGUGCGGGAUGCCCGCCUUCGGGUUGUAAACCGAUUUCGAAUGUAACGAAGCGUGAGUGACGGUACUGAGUCAGAAAGCACCGGCUAACUACGUG